rnacentral:rRNA from 1 species
GCAAGUCGAACGGGAUCCAGGCAGCUUGCUGUCUGGUGAGAGUGGCGAACGGGUGAGUAAUGCGUGACCAACCUGCCCCAUACUCCGGAAUAGCUCCUGGAAACGGGUGGUAAUGCCGGGUGUUCCGCAUCAUCGCAUGAUGGUGUGGGAAAGGGUUUACCGGUAUGGGAUGGGGUCGCGUCCUAUCAGCUUGUUGGUGGGGUGAUGGCCUACCAAGGCUUCGACGGGUAGCCGGCCUGAGAGGGCGACCGGCCACAUUGGGACUGAGAUACGGCCCAGACUCCUACGGGAGGCAGCAGUGGGGAAUAUUGCACAAUGGGCGAAAGCCUGAUGCAGCGACGCCGCGUGCGGGAUGACGGCCUUCGGGUUGUAAACCGCUUUUGAUUGGGAGCAAGCGAGAGUGAGUGUACCUUUCGAAUAAGCACCGGCUAACUACGUGCCAGCAGCCGCGGUAAUACGUAGGGUGCAAGCGUUAUCCGGAAUUAUUGGGCGUAAAGAGCUCGUAGGCGGUUCGUCGCGUCUGGUGUGAAAGUCCAUCGCUUAACGGUGGAUCUGCGCCGGGUACGGGCGGACUGGAGUGCGGUAGGGGAGACUGGAAUUCCCGGUGUAACGGUGGAAUGUGUAGAUAUCGGGAAGAACACCAAUGGCGAAGGCAGGUCUCUGGGCCG